rnacentral:rRNA from 1 species
AAUAGAUACCCGGGUAGUCCACGCCGUAAACGAUGAGUGCUAAGUGUUAGAGGGUUUCCGCCCUUUAGUGCUGCAGCUAACGCAUUAAGCACUCCGCCUGGGGAGUACGGCCGCAAGGCUGAAACUCAAAGGAAUUGACGGGGGCCCGCACAAGCGGUGGAGCAUGUGGUUUAAUUCGAAGCAACGCGAAGAACCUUACCAGGUCUUGACAUCCUCUGACAACCCUAGAGAUAGGGCUUUCCCCUUCGGGGGACAGAGUGACAGGUGGUGCAUGGUUGUCGUCAGCUCGUGUCGUGAGAUGUUGGGUUAAGUCCCGCAACGAGCGCAACCCUUGAUCUUAGUUGCCAGCAUUCAGUUGGGCACUCUAAGGUGACUGCCGGUGACAAACCGGAGGAAGGUGGGGAUGACGUCAAAUCAUCAUGCCCCUUAUGACCUGGGCUACACACGUGCUACAAUGGAUGGUACAAGGGCUGCAAACCUGCGAAGGUAAGCGAAUCCCAUAAAGCCAUUCUCAGUUCGGAUUGCAGG